UACGUAGGAUCCAAGCGUUAUCCGGAAUUACUGGGCGUAAAGCGUACGUAGGUGGAGAUUUAAGUGAGAUGCGAAAUCUGGCGGCUCAACCGUCUAGACUGUGUCUCAUACUGGGUUUCUUGAGGUUGGCAGAGGCAAGUGGAAUUUCCGGUGUAGCAGUGAAAUGCGUAGAGAUCGGAAGGAACACCAAUGGCGAAGGCAGCUUGCUGGGCCACACCUGACACUGAGGUACGAAAGCGUGGGGAGCGAACAGG
rnacentral:rRNA from 1 species